rnacentral:lncRNA from 13 species
GGUCUGACUCCUUCCUGGGCUCGAGUGCUGUGGCUUGUUCAUAGAUGACUGUAGCUCAAACUCCUGAAUGCAAACAAUCCUCCUUCCUCAGCCUCCCAAGUAGCUUGGACAACAGGAUAAGACUUGGCUGUUCUAGAAAACUACAGCCUGUGCUGUGGAGAAUGGGGUACAUGAAGUAUGGAAGAAUGAAUACCUUCCUCCUCUUAAGAAAACUUCAGAGACUGAAAGGGACAAGUGCUAGCCUCAGACAAGGACAAAGAGGAAGAAUUCUGUGA